UGGUCGACCAGUUGGAAAGUA
rnacentral:miRNA from 1 species